rnacentral:rRNA from 1 species
AGUGAACGCUGGCGGUAGGCCUAACACAUGCAAGUCGAACGGGAGCACAGUAAGAGCUUGCUCUUACGGGUGGCGAGUGGCGGACGGGUGAGGAAUACAUCGGAAUCUACUUUUUCGUGGGGGAUAACGUAGGGAAACUUACGCUAAUACCGCAUACGACCUACGGGUGAAAGCAGGGGAUCUUCGGACCUUGCGCGAUUGAAUGAGCCGAUGUCGGAUUAGCUAGUUGGCGGGGUAAAGGCCCACCAAGGCGACGAUCCGUAGCUGGUCUGAGAGGAUGAUCAGCCACACUGGAACUGAGACACGGUCCAGACUCCUACGGGAGGCAGCAGUGGGGAAUAUUGGACAAUGGCCGCAAGCCUGAUCCAGCCAUACCGCGUGGGUGAAGAAGGCCUUCGGGUUGUAAAGCCCUUUUGUUGGGAAAGAAAAGCAGCAGGUUAAUACCCCGCUGUUCUGACGGUACCCAAAGAAUAAGCACCGGCUAACUUCGUG